AUUGAACGCUGGCGGAAUGCUUUACACAUGCAAGUCGAACGGCAGCACGGACUUCGGUCUGGUGGCGAGUGGCGAACGGGUGAGUAAUGUAUCGGAACGUGCCCAGUCGUGGGGGAUAACGUAGUGAAAAUUACGCUAAUACCGCAUACGAUCUAUGGAUGAAAGCGGGGGAUCGCAAGACCUCGCGCGAUUGGAGCGGCCGAUAUCAGAUUAGGUAGUUGGUGGGGUAAAGGCCCACCAAGCCAACGAUCUGUAGCUGGUCUGAGAGGACGACCAGCCACACUGGAACUGAGACACGGUCCAGACUCCUACGGGAGGCAGCAGUGGGGAAUUUUGGACAAUAGGCGAAGGCCUGAUCCAGCCAUUCCGCGUGCAGGAUGAAGGCCCUCGGGUUGUAAACUGCUUUUGUACAGAACGAAAAGGUUUCUACUAAUACUAGGAGCUCAUGACGGUACUGUAAGAAUAAGCACCGGCUAACUACGUGCCAGCAGCCGCAGUAA
rnacentral:rRNA from 1 species